CCUACGGGUGGCAGCAGUGGGGAAUAUUGCACAAUGGGGGAAACCCUGAUGCAGCGACGCCGCGUGAGUGAAGAAGUAUUUCGGUAUGUAAAGCUCUGUCAGCAGGGAAGAAAAUGACGGUACCUGACCAAGAAGCCCCGGCUAACUACGGGCCAGCAGCCGCGGUAAUACGUAGGGUGCCAGCGUUAUCCGGAUGUACUGGGUGUAAAGGGAGCGUAGACGGCUGGGCAAGUCCGGAGUGAAAGGCGGGGGCUCAACCCGCGGACUGCUUUGGAAACUGCCAGGCUGGAGUGCAGGAGAGGUAAGUGGAAUUCCUAGUGUAGCGGUGAAAUGCGUAGAUAUUAGGAGGAACACCAGUGGCGAAGGCGGCUUACUGGACUGUAACUGACGUUGAGGCUCGAAAGCGUGGGGAGCAAACAGGAUUAGAUACCCCUGUAGUC
rnacentral:rRNA from 1 species